GCACUCGUAGCUCAAUUGUAUAGAGCAACUCGUUUCUACCGAGAAGGUUGGGGGUUAGAGUCCCUCCGGGUGUGCCA
rnacentral:tRNA from 1 species